rnacentral:rRNA from 1 species
AUGGCGGCAAAGAAACAACUCUUCCGCUUUGGGUCUUUCGCGAUAAAGGACGGGUCGGAGAUUCGUUUCUGGGAAGACAUCUGGCUAGGCAAUGCCAGUCUCCGAGAACAAUAUCCAGCCUUGUAUAACAUUGCUUGCGAUAAGAACAAUACUAUUGCGCAGGUGCUCAGCUCAUCCCCGCCGAAUAUUUCGUUCAGACGGGAUUUGGUUGGCGCCCGACUUAUGUCAUGGCAUAAUCUCUUAUCCCAUCUGUAUCUGAUUAACCUGACGCAAGGCCGUGAUAUGUUUCGCUGGAACCUUACUACAUCGGGGUCUUUCACGGUAGACUCUAUGUAUCGUCCGCUCACGCAUUCUGAGUUACCGGAGAGCAAUAACAAAAAAAUCUGGAAGGCAAAGAUUCCACUAAAAGUUAAAAUAUUCAUGUGGUAUCUUCGUAGAGGUGUUGUGCUAACCAAACACAACCUUGCACGACGCAACUAG